rnacentral:rRNA from 1 species
CGAAAGCGUGGGGAGCGAACAGGAUUAGAUACCCUGGUAGUCCACGCCGUAAACGAUGAGUGCUAAGUGUUAGGGGGUUUCCGCCCUUAGUGCUGCAGCUAACGCAUUAAGCACUCCGCCUGGGGAGUACGGUCGCAAGACUGAAACUCAAAGGAAUUGACGGGGGCCCGCACAAGCGGUGGAGCAUGUGGUUUAAUUCGAAGCAACGCGAAGAACCUUACCAGGUCUUGACAUCCUCUGACAAUCCUAGAGAUAGGACGUCCCCUUCGGGGGCAGAGUGACAGGUGGUGCAUGGUUGUCGUCAGCUCGUGUCGUGAGAUGUUGGGUUAAGUCCCGCAACGAGCGCAACCCUUGAUCUUAGUUGCCAGCAUUCAGUUGGGCACUCUAAGGUGACUGCCGGUGACAAACCGGAGGAAGGUGGGGAUGACGUCAAAUCAUCAUGCCCCUUAUGACCUGGGCUACACACGUGCUACAAUGGACAGAACAAAGGGCAGCGAAACCGCGAGGUUAAGCCAAUCCCACAAAUCUGUUCUCAGUUCGGAUCGCAGUCUGCAACUCGACUGCGUGAAGCUGGAAUCGCUAGUAAUCGCGGAUCAGCAUG